rnacentral:lncRNA from 1 species
UAUGCAUCACCUCUAUGUCUGACCCUCUGCUAGCAAAGUGCUUAGAAUUUCUUAAUUUUCUAUUGGGUGGGCUCGAAAAAAGCACUAAUGAUUCAUCAUCAAAGUUGAAGUACGAGAAUCCUAACUUUUACUCCAUCUUCUAUCGAUCCCUCAGCCACCGUCAUUGACCUAAUUUCAACUAAUGAGUUGCCAGAUUUGGUGAGAAAAUUGAGAGGCUCUAUUCUC